rnacentral:rRNA from 1 species
AGAGUUUGAUCAUGGCUCAGAACGAACGCUGGCGGCAGGCUUAACACAUGCAAGUCGAGCGCCCCGCAAGGGGAGCGGCGGACGGGUGAGUAACACGUGGGAAUAUACCCUUCGGUACGGAACAACUCAGGGAAACUUGAGCUAAUACCGCAUACGCCGGCGACGGGAAAGAUUUAUCGCCGAAGGAAUAGCCCGCGUCCGAUUAGCUAGUUGGUGAGGUAAAGGCUCACCAAGGCUCCGAUCGGUAGCUGGUUUGAGAGAACGACCAGCCACACUGGGACUGAGACACGGCCCAGACUCCUACGGGAGGCAGCAGUGGGGAAUCUUGGACAAUGGGGGAAACCCUGAUCCAGCCAUGCCGCGUGAGUGAUGAAGGCCUUCGGGUUGUAAAACUCUUUCGACGGGGACGAUAAUGACGGUACCCGUAGAAGAAGCUCCGGCUAACUUCGUGCCAGCAGCCGCGGUAAUACGAAGGGGGCUAGCGUUGUUCGGAAUUACUGGGCGUAAAGCGCGCGCAGGCGGCUCUUCAAGUCAGGGGUGAAAGCCCAGAGCUCAACUCUGGAACUGCCCUUGAAACUGUAGAGCUUGAGUACGGUAGAGGUGAGUGGAAUUCCCAGUGUAGAGGUGAAAUUCGUAGAUAUUGGGAAGAACACCGGUGGCGAAGGCGGCUCACUGGACCGUUACUGACGCUCAGGCGCGACAGCGUGGGGAUCAAACAGGAUUAGAUACCCUAGUAGUCC